CGAACGCUGGCGGCAUGCCUAACACAUGCAAGUCGAACGAGACCUUCGGGUCUAGUGGCGCACGGGUGCGUAACGCGUGGGAAUCUGCCCUUGGGUUCGGAAUAACAGUUAGAAAUGACUGCUAAUACCGGAUGAUGACUUCGGUCCAAAGAUUUAUCGCCCAAGGAUGAGCCCGCGUAGGAUUAGGUAGUUGGUGGGGUAAAGGCUCACCAAGCCGACGAUCCUUAGCUGGUCUGAGAGGAGAUCAGCCACACUGGGACUGAGACACGGCCCAGACUCCUACGGGAGGCAGCAGUGGGGAAUAUUGGACAAUGGGCGAAAGCCUGAUCCAGCAAUGCCGCGUGAGUGAUGAAGGCCUUAGGGUUGUAAAGCUCUUUUACCCGGGAUGAUAAUGACAGUACCGGGAG
rnacentral:rRNA from 1 species